rnacentral:rRNA from 1 species
GCUCUGGGCCCAACCUCCCACCCGUGUCUCUUGCGUACUUUGUUGCUUUGGCGGGCCCACUGGGUCACUCCGGUCGCCGGGGAGCGCUAUGCUCCCGGGCCCGUGCCCGCCAGAGCACCCCUGUGAACCCUGAUGAAGAGAGGCUGUCUGAGUCCCACGAUAAUCGUUAAAACUUUCAACAAUGGAUCUCUUGGUUCCGGCAUCGAUGAAGAACGCAGCGAAAUGCGAUAAGUAAUGUGAAUUGCAGAAUUCCGUGAAUCAUCGAAUCUUUGAACGCACAUUGCGCCCCCUGGCAUUCCGGGGGGCAUGCCUGUCCGAGCGUCAUUUCUGCCCUCAAGCGCGGCUUGUGUGUUGGGCGUGGUCCCCCUGGCUUUGGCGGGGACUUGCCCGAAAGGCAGCGGCGACGUCCCGCCUAGUCCUCGAGCGUAUGGGGCUCUGUCACGCGCUCGGGAGGGACUGGUGGGCGUUGGUCACCCCUUAUUCUUUCUACGGUUGACCUCGGAUCAGGUAGGAGU